rnacentral:tRNA from 2 species
UCUCUGUUAGUAUAUCGGUUAGUACACGCGCCUGUCAUUGUACCGACCGCGCGAAAGCGGGGUUCGACUCCCCGACAGAGAG